UACGUAGGGUCCGAGGCGUUGUCCGGAAUUAUUGGGCGUAAAGGGCUCGUAGGCGGUUCGUCACGUCGGGAGUGAAAACUCGGAGCUUAACUCCGAGCCUGCUUCCGAUACGGGCAGACUAGAGGUAGGCAGGGAGAGCGGAACUCCUGGUGUAGCGGUGGAAUGCGCAGAUAUCAGGAAGAACACCGGUGGCGAAGGCGGCU
rnacentral:rRNA from 1 species